UCGGCAAUAGACGAAAGUCUGACCGAGCAACGCCGCGUGUGCGAUGAAGGCCUUCGGGUUGUAAAGCACUGUCGAGGGGAAACAAGCCGUAAGGUUGAGUGACCCCUGGAGGAAGCACGGGCUAAGUUCGUGCCAGCAGCCGCGGUAAGACGGACCGUGCAAACGUUAUUCGGAAUCACUGGGCUUAAAGGGCGCGUAGGCGGGUGAUCAAGUCAAUGGUGAAAUCCUCCAGCUUAACUGGAGAAGUGCCUUUGAUACUGAUUGUCUAGAGGGAGGUAGGGGCACGUGGAACUUCAGGUGGAGCGGUGAAAUGCGUAGAUAUCUGAAGGAACGCCAGUGGCGAAAGCGGUGUGCUGGAUCUUUUCUGACGCUGAGGCACGAAAGCUAGGGUAGCGAACGGGAUUAGAUACCCCGGUAGUCCUAGCCCUAAACGAUGAGUACUAGAUUGUGGACUGACAUGGGUUCACAGUCGAAGCAAAAGUAUUAAGUACUCCGCCUGGGGAGUAUGGUCGCAAGGCUGAAACUCAAAGGA
rnacentral:rRNA from 1 species